UACGAGGGGGGCGAGCGUUGUUCGGAAUUACUGGGCGUAAAGCGUGCGCAGGCGGUUUUGUAAGCCAGAUGUGAAAGCCCCGGACUUAACCUGGGAAUGGCAUUUGGGACUGCAAGGCUUGAGUGCGGCAGAGGAGACUGGAAUUCCUGGUGUAGCAGUUAAAUGCGUAGAUAUCAGGAGGAAUACCGAUGGCGAAGGCAGGUCUCUGGGCUGACACUGACGCUCAUGCACGAAAGCGUGGGGAGCAAACAGG
rnacentral:rRNA from 1 species